rnacentral:rRNA from 1 species
AUGGAUCUUGAGGCAAACUCUGAGCUCAUAUUUGGAGAGGAAUUCUGCUUUCCUGCUAACGCAACUUACUAUCCGACUCCAUAUGGUCCAACUGGAAUUACUCUGCCUGCUGAGUUGUAUGAGCACCAGGCAAUUUGGAGAUGUGGUGAUCAAGAUCUACAUUACUUGGGCCAACAGGCUGAAGGCACAUCAUACUCGUAUUAUGUUGUCCCUGACUAUGGGAUUGCACAUUCUCCCCGUGGCCCUUACCCUUCAGAACAUUGUACUAUAGCUGAUGGCAGGUUUGCUAGAUCCCGAGAGUAUCUUGCUAAGACUGCUGACAUCGCAUGCCACCAACCAGUUCCUAUACCCCACUAUGAUGUUCUUCCACCUGCUGCACAGUGGGGCCCAGCUAGCACGUCGCAAACUCUUACGUUCAAUGAUAGUCUGUUCAUCCCCACUGAUCAAGGCCAAAGUUUCCCUGCUGUUCCAAAAAAGGGUAUUACAUGGAAUCCGUCUCUACAAUCAACUAGUGUUUCUUCAAAGAAAUUCGAAAACCAUGCUAUGCUAUCAACAGUACAACUGCAUAGUACAGAUUCAUGGAAGCAAAAUCUAGCAGCUGGAAGUCGAACUAUGGUACCUGCUAAACUUCACCGUGCUCUACAGGCUUCACGGCACUCUCUACAUGGGGGAGUUCCUCCUGUCAAGUCCUCGCCGCAGACUAAUCCAUCAUACAACUAUAAUGCUUCACAUGUUGGAUCAGACCUCCGUAAGAUGGCCAUGGCUGAGAAAUUCCAACCAAGCUCAAAGCCAAGAAGCCAUGUAAAUGGUUUAACUGGAAAGUUGAGUUCAGUGUGUUGGCCGAACUUAAGUAAAGAAAAACAGCCAAGAGGUUCGAUGUCGUCAGAAAUAGUUGCCACAUCCUAUACAUCAAAGCUGCAUAUUGGCAAUCCAGAGGGGAAAAUCAUCAUUAAGACUGAUCAAUAUAACAGAGACGAUUUCGAGGUGGUGUAUCCCAAUGCAAAAUUCUUUGUUAUCAAGUCUUGGGGCGAGGCAAAUGUUCACAAAUCCAUCAAAUAUGGUGUCUGGUCGAGUGGUCUUCAGGGAAACAAGAAGCUGGAUAGUGCAUUUAGAGAUGCUCAAAUGAUAGCUGCAAGCAGUUCUACCUUGUGUCCAGUUUUUCUGUUCUUUUCGGUCAAUGAAAGUAACCAUUUCUGUGGUGUUGCUGAGAUGGUUGGUCCUGUUGAUUUUCAAAAAGGAGACAUGGACUUUUGGAGCAUGGAUAGGUGGGUUGGAAGCUUUCCUGUGAGGUGGCACAUUAUAAAGAAUAUACCAAACGUCGCCUUGAAAUGUAUCUUGCUGCGGAACAAUGAAGAUAAGCCUGUCACCUCCAGCAAAAAUACACAAGAGGUACACUAUGUUCCCGGAACUAGUAUGCUCAGGAUCUUCAAAGGUUCAAAAACAAAUGGAUGUCUGCUUGAUUGCUUCACAAUGUAUGAGGCGGAAGAAGCAAAAUGCAGGAUGUCCAAGCUUAGGCGUGAUGCUCCACGUUUCAUACGUGUCCCUAAGCUGUCUCUGCGCCAUGCCUACGUUCCUCGGCAGCCCAAAGCUGACAGAAUACUGAUGGACAGAAUUAUCAGGGAGACGCACGAUCUGGCAGGCAAGGGAAUGCAGCAGAGCUCAUGGGAAGAAUCUGGGAACCUGGCUAGAUAUUCUGCCACGGCAUCUGCACAGAAAGAAAACCGUAGCUAUGGAAAACCGGCUCGUGAGGAUGUGGUGAAAGCUGUAAUAUACCAGCAGCCCCUAGCUUCAAACAUGCCGGCUGCUCCGGCUGGAGGACAACUAACCUGGGAGAAGGUUGAAGUCGGGCCAGUUGAAAAAGACCGCCCACAAAUUGCUGCCAACAUCUCAUCAAAAGCACCUGAAGAGAAUCCAACUGAAGUUAACAAUGCCUUGGUGCACAGUGCAUCAUCAUCAACUCCAGAGACGAUUUAUGAAGAAAAGAAGAUCAUUGGGGAACACUGUGCUCGAGCAGUCAGUCCUCCUAUGAGUGAAGCCUGCUCAAGUUGCUUGAUUGGUGAUGUUCUGCGCAUUGGUUCGAUGCUGGUCCCGAUGAAGAUGCCCAACUAA